rnacentral:rRNA from 1 species
CCCUUAGAUGUUCUGGGCCGCACGCGCGCUACAAUGAUGAAUUCAACGAGUUUAUAACCUUGGUUGAAAAGCCUAGGUAAUCUUUUGAACUUUCGUCGUGAUGGGGCUAGACCCUUGCAAUUAUUGGUCUCCAACGAGGAAUUCCUAGUAAACGCAAGUCAUCAGCUUGCAUUGAUUACGUCCCUGCCCUUUGUACACACCGCCCGUCGCACCUACCGAUUGAAUGGUCCGGUGAAAUCUUCGGAUUGAGACUUUGAUUUGUUUACUCAAAACGCUGUUUCAAGAAGUUGAUUAAACCUUACCAUUUAGAGGAAGGUGAAGUCGUAACA